GCAAGUCGAACGGAGGCCCGAAGCUUGCUUCGGAUACCUUAGUGGCGAACGGGUGAGUAACACGUGGGAAUCUACCUAAAAAUGGGGAAUAACUAUUGGAAACGAUAGCUAAUACCGCAUAAUCCCAAAGGGGUAAAGGCUUCGGCCGUUUUUAGAUGAGCCCGCGCUAGAUUAGGUUGUUGGUAGGGUAAAAGCCUACCAAGCCUACUAUCUAUAGCUGGUCUGAGAGGAUGAUCAGCCACACUGGGACUGAGACACGGCCCAGACUCCUACGGGAGGCAGCAGUGGGGAAUAUUGGACAAUGGGGGAAACCCUGAUCCAGCAAUGCCGCGUGAGUGAAGAAGGCCUUAGGGUUGUAAAGCUCUUUCAGAAGUGAAGAUGAUGACUGUAACUUCAGAAGAAGAUCCGGCUAACUCCGUGCCAGCAGCCGCGGUAAUACGGAGGGAUCUAGCGUUGUUCGGAAUUACUGGGCGUAAAGGGCGCGUAGGCGGUAUGAUUAGUCAGAGGUGAAAUCCCUAAGCUUAACUUAGGAACUGCCUUUGAUACUGUUAUACUAGAGAACGAGAGAGGUGAGUGGAAUUCCAAGUGUAGAGGUGAAAUUCGUAGAUAUUUGGAAGAACACCAGUGGCGAAAGCGGCUCACUGGCUCGUUUCUGACGCUAAGGCGCGAAAGCGUGGGUAGCAAACAGGAUUAGAUACCCUGGUAGUCCACGCUGUAAACGAUGAAUGCUAGCCGUUUGAGGUUUUACUUCAAGUGGUGCAGUUAACGCGUUAAGCAUUCCGCCUGGGGAGUACGAUCGCAAGAU
rnacentral:rRNA from 1 species